rnacentral:piRNA from 1 species
GGGACUGGACCGCGUACGGGCGGGUGUAGG